rnacentral:rRNA from 1 species
UACGUAGGGGGCAAGCGCUGUCCGGAUUUAUUGGGCGUAAAGAGCGUGUAGGCGGUUGGGUAGGUCCGUUGUGAAAACUCGAGGCUCAACCUCGAGACGCCGAUGGAAACCCCCCAGCUAGAGUCCGGAAGAGGAGAGUGGAAUUCCUGGUGUAGCGGUGAAAUGCGCAGAUAUCAGGAAGAACACCCGUGGCUAAGCCGGGUCUUUGGCCGUAACUGACGCUGAGGAGCGAAAGCGUGGGGAGCGAACAGG